rnacentral:rRNA from 1 species
CAGUCGCCGCGGUAAUACGUAGGUGGCAAGCGUUGUCCGGAAUUAUUGGGCGUAAAGGGCUCGCAGGCGGUUUCUUAAGUCUGAUGUGAAAGCCCCCGGCUCAACCGGGGAGGGUCAUUGGAGACUGGGAAACUUGAGUGCAGAAGAGGAGAGUGGAAUUCCACGUGUAGCGGUGAAAUGCGUAGAGGUGUGGAGGAACACCAGUGGUGAAGGCGACUCUCUGGUCUGUAACUGACGCUGAGGAGCGAAAGCGUGGGGAGCGAACAGGAUUAGAGACCCCCGUAGUCCCUGUCUCUUAUAA